AGGACGAACGCUGGCGGCGUGCUUAACACAUGCAAGUCGAGCGGAAAGGCCCUUCGGGGUACUCGAGCGGCGAACGGGUGAGUAACACGUGAGUAACCUGCCCUAGGCUUUGGGAUAACCCUCGGAAACGGGGGCUAAUACCGAAUAUUCAUUCUGGAUGGCAUCAUCUGGUGUGGAAAGUUUUUCGGCCUGGGAUGGGCUCGCGGCCUAUCAGCUUGUUGGUGGGGUGAUGGCCUACCAAGGCGACGACGGGUA
rnacentral:rRNA from 1 species